AAUUUCGUGUGGGAUUUAAUUUCGUUGAUAAUUGUUAAUAACGAAAUAAACGAAAUUUAAUCCCCCACAAAUAUUUGUGCUUUUACAGUACUCAUAAACCGCUGCACUUUGUCUGAAAAUAAAUUAGUAAUUAGUGCUUUGAAAUCUGCUCUUUGGUUAACAAUUUAUUAUGAAAUAAAUUUUGAAUUAUAAGGCCCCAGGAUCAGUGGUUCCUGUGGGAUGGGGUGCAUCAGUGUUGCAUGCUAAGUGUAUAGUUAUGAUAAAAACAUUGGUGCCUCUUUUAAAAUUAUGAAUUUCAUGUCUUUUGGUUUAAAAAAAAACAUGAACCAAAUUCAAUUUUUGGAAAGUUAUUACAUGAUACUCAGGUGACCUAUAAAUAUAAGACCUGUUGGCCUCUUGUUUUACAGAACAAUUUGUAUAGUUUUGAACUUGUGUAUGUUAAUUUAUGACUGUGUUUAAAUUUCAUCUGUAGAAGUUUACAUUGCUACAUGUUUAAGCCCAAGCAUUUAUUCUCACUCUGGGCUAAUUGAUUUGAUCAGCAAAAAAGUUUCCCAUAUUUCAUAAUGGUAUAAUUUACUUCUUACAGUGUUCAUGAUUACCAGUAUAUACAUGUGAUUGAGUUUACAGAUUACUGGUUUUGACAGUGUGAAGUCAAUGAUUUCAGUAUGUGUCCAAUUCAGAGUAAAAAUUUUGUUUGUUAAAAAUGAAAAAAAGUUAAACUUCGAUAAUUUUGAAUAUAUCUGCAGGAAGAAAACUGCUCUUUGCAUAUCAACAUAAUCAUUCAUAUUAUACAAUAGUGAGGAGAAUUACAUAGAAAUGAAUGCAGUAUGGUUGACAAUUCUGUAUUUGAUUAGACUUGGGUGAUAAUGAUGACUUGUGAUAUUUAGGAACUUUAUUUAUGGAAAUUCUAAUAUAUUGUGAACAAAGGAUGAGUUUUGAAAUAUUGGUGUCUGUGAUGACAACAUCAUGAAAAUGUGAAACCCUGAUUAUUUUACUGCCUUGAUGUUGUUUUGUUAUAUUCUUUCUUUGAUUUAAUAGAAGGACAAUUUAUAAAUAAUAAACAUUGUAUUCAUUAA